CCUGCAGGGACCUUAGCAGCCGGCUGGGCACCCCGCAGGGCGCAUCCCCAGCCCUCGCUAGAGGGCAGCAGAGCACCACGCCCCCACGGCCCGGGCGCCUCACAAAGGAAGCUUUGUGGAGCGCGGGCCUGCGCUUUGCAGCUCGCUCCUGAGCCAGUGCCCGGCGGAGGGGCUGACCAGCUGAUGCGUGGUGAGAGACGAGCAGGCCCUCAAGAUGCACUCUCCGAGAGAGUGAAGAAAGCAACACGAGUAAUCAGGGGGCCUCCCACCAACCCCCUGCCCCCCGGUCCAUCCUCUUCAAUCCACUCUCCUCCAGUUAACCCAGGCAUCCUUUCCUGGGAAAACCCUGCCCUGGCUCCCUCGGGCCUCUGAAGAGUGUCUGAGCUCCCAGCCUGGGACUCGAGGCCAUUCGGGCUCUAGCUUCUGCUGAUCCCUCCGGCUGUGGUCUCCACCACCCUGCACCCUUGCCUCCUGCGCUCCACUCCCCAAAGCUUUGCUUCCGUCCUCUGCUUGGGCCGGUGGUUCUCCCUCUUUCAGGAGUGCUGUCUUCCACCGGGUGGACUCGCCCUGCAAGCUUUCCCUAGAAUGCCUUCCCCGCCACUCCCUACCCGCCAGGACAGGUCAGAGCCCGCCUCUAGUCCCCACAGUCUCCCGGCCUCCCCUCCGUUGCAGCACUGAUCACACUGAGCUUCUCUUCCUGUCUGCUGGGCAGCAGAGACUGCGGAUGCUUCAGCCCUGAGCUCUAUGAGCCAGCACAGGGCCCAGCACACACUGGGAGCUUAGCAAACAUGGGUGGAAGGAAAGAAAGGAGCCCAGAAGGAGGCAGAGGGGCUGGUGAGAGGCCUGCUGGGUGCUUCUUUGUGUCCUUCCCCGGCCUCCAUCUCUCUUCCCUCCCUUCCUCUGAGGGCUAACAAAAAACACUCAACUCCGUGAUGCGAGGAUUCAUUUAGGGACUCAUUUAUCAUGGAGAUCAUCAGCUGCUGUCACAAAGCUGCUCUCAAAUGCACCCAGAAGCAGGGUGACAUUCUCCUCGCCCGGGCCAAGCUGGCCUCUCAGACCAAACUGUCCGAUGCAAAUCUGGAAACCCCAGAGGGUGGAGGCCAGGCUGUACCAGGCCCAGAUACAGAGACCGAAGUCUUGGUGGGAAGAGGCCGAGCCCAGUCUGGGACUCACCCUGCCAGGCAGCGCGGCACAGUAUUGAGGUGGAGCGGAGAUGAGAAAGAAGGUCUGCGAGGAAGGAGGUUCUCCAUGUAUCACAUGACAAUCAUCUAUCAUUGCUCCACUUGUACCCCCCGCAGAGGAAAAGCCAGAUGGGUCCAGGGCCUGUUGUGAAAUUUUUCCCAACAGAGCUUGCUGUCAUCUUUAAUUAAAACACGAGUGGAGGCCGUA